rnacentral:tRNA from 1 species
CAGAGAAUAGUUUAAUUAAAAUAUUAAUUUUGGAGAUUAAUGUUAGAGGUAAUUCUCUUUCUCUGA